AACGAACGCUGGCGGCAUGCCUAACACAUGCAAGUCGAACGAGACCUUCGGGUCUAGUGGCGCACGGGUGCGUAACGCGUGGGAAUCUGCCCUUGGGUCCGGAAUAACUCAGAAGAAAUUUGAGCUAAUACCGGAUGAUGACGUAAGUCCAAAGAUUUAUCGCCCAGGGAUGAGCCCGCGUAGGAUUAGCUAGUUGGUGAGGUAAAGGCUCACAAGGCGACGAUCCUUAGCNGGUCUGAGAGGAUGAUCAGCCACACUGGGACUGAGACACGGCCAGACUCCGUACGGGAGGCAGCGAGGUGGGGGAAUA
rnacentral:rRNA from 1 species